UACAGAGGGGGCAAGCGUUGUUCGGAAUUACUGGGCGUAAAGGGCGCGUAGGCGGCCUGUUAAGUCGAACGUGAAAUCCCCGGGCUCAACCCGGGAACUGCGUCCGAAACUGGCAGGCUUGAAUCCGGGAGAGGGAUGUGGAAUUCCAGGUGUAGCGGUGAAAUGCGCAGAUAUCAGGAGGAACACCAAUUGCGAAGGCAGCUCGCUGGGACGUUACUGACGCUGAGACGCGAAAGCGUGGGGAGCAAACAGG
rnacentral:rRNA from 1 species